rnacentral:rRNA from 1 species
UACGUAGGGGGCAAGCGUUGUCCGGAAUUAUUGGGCGUAAAGCGCGCGCAGGCGGUUUAUUAAGUCUGAUGUGAAAGCCCACGGCUCAACCGUGGAGGGCCAUUGGAAACUGGUAGACUUGAGUGCAGAAGAGGAGAGCGGAAUUCCUGGUGUAGCGGUGAAAUGCGUAGAUAUCAGGAGGAACACCCGUGGCGAAGGCGGCUCUCUGGUCUGUAACUGACGCUGAGGCGCGAAAGCGUGGGGAGCAAAC